GAUGAACGCUGGCGGCGUGCCUAAUACAUGCAAGUAGAACGCUGAAGCUUGGUGCUUGCACCGAGCGGAGGAGUUGCGAACGGGUGAGUAACGCGUAGGUAACCUGCCUCUUAGCGGGGGAUAACUAUUGGAAACGAUAGCUAAUACCGCAUAAAAGUCGACAUUGCAUGAUGUUGACUUGAAAGGUGCAACUGCAUCACUAAGAGAUGGACCUGCGUUGUAUUAGCUAGUUGGUGAGGUAACGGCUCACCAAGGCGACGAUACAUAGCCGACCUGAGAGGGUGAUCGGCCACACUGGGACUGAGACACGGCCCAGACUCCUACGGGAGGCAGCAGUAGGGAAUCUUCGGCAAUGGGGGCAACCCUGACCGAGCAACGCCGCGUGAGUGAAGAAGGUUUUCGGAUCGUGAAGCUCUGUUGUAAGAGAAGAACGAGUGUGAGAGUGGAAAGUUCACACUGUGACGGUAACUUACCAGAAAGGGACGGCUAACUACGUGCCAGCAGCCGCGGUAAUACGUAGGUCCCGAGCGUUAUCCGGAUUUAUUGGGCGUAAAGCGAGCGCAGGCGGUUAGAUAAGUCUGAAGUUAAAGGCUGUGGCUUAACCAUAGUACGCUUUGGAAACUGUUUAACUUGAGUGCAGAAGGGGAGAGUGGAAUUCCAUGUGUAGCGGUGAAAUGCGUAGAUAUAUGGAGGAACACCGGUGGCGAAAGCGGCUCUCUGGUCUGUAACUGACGCUGAGGCUCGAAAGCGUGGGGAGCAAACAGG
rnacentral:rRNA from 1 species